rnacentral:rRNA from 1 species
UACGGGGGGGGCAAGCGUUGUUCGGAAUUACUGGGCGUAAAGGGCUCGUAGGUGGCCAACUAAGUCGGACGUGAAAUCCCUCGGCUUAACCGGGGAACUGCGUCUGAUACUGGAUGGCUUGAGUUCGGGAGAGGGAUGCGGAAUUCCAGGUGUAGCGGUGAAAUGCGUAGAUAUCUGGAGGAACACCGGUGGCGAAGGCGGCAUCCUGGACCGACACUGACGCUGAGGAGCGAAAGCGUGGGGAGCAAACAGG